CUCACUCAAAAUCACGUGAAAGUGUGAAACUUCUUCCCUCCUCCUUCACUUUCACGUAAACACACCCUCAACCUCCAUUGCUGCUAUUGUUUCACGCCGCCACCGCACACCUUCCGGACCACCGCCGUCCUCACCGACGCCACCACUGUGGACCACCUAACACCUUCGUCGUCCCCUCCACGUUGCACCGCCACCUGCACCGCCGCUGCUGCGCUGCAGCCAUCAAUUCUCUCCUUCCUCUUUCGUUGCUUGCUACCACCCUCGACAACGACCACAACCACCCGCGACCACCAACACCAGUCGCGUCGCCCAACCCGCGACCACCUGUACUGCUGCCGCCGUACCUCCGCCGGCCAGCCACUCUCUCUCCUUGUUUUGGCGGAGAAUUCUUUGUAGGCGACCCUUGAGAUUGUUAUAGUAACCUAUCAAUUUGUUUACACAAGUCUCUAAGGAUCAAUAAGCGUUGUCCAUCUACAGGUUUGAAGAUGAUGCAUCAUUGGGAACGGGAUUAGAGAGCUUGUAUUUAUUUUGUUUUGCUAAGUGACUUGGGUUUGUUAAAUUGGACCUUAAACUUGGCGCACUAUUUACAUUUCCUUAUUUUCGUUGAUUGGUUUUUG